rnacentral:rRNA from 1 species
AGCAGCCGCGGUAAUUCCAGCUCCAAUAGCGUAUAUUAAAGUUGUUGCAGUUAAAAAGCUCGUAGUUGAAUUUCGGGGUUAGUAGGUUGGUCGUGCCUUUGGUAUGUACUGGUCUCACUGAUUCCUCCUUCUUGAAGAACUGUAAUGUCAUUAAUUUGGUGUUGCAGGGAAACAGGACUGUUACUUUGAAAAAAUUAGAGUGUUUAAAGCAGGCUAAUGCCUGAAUACAUUAGCAUGGAAUAAUGAAAUAGGACGUUUGAUCCUAUUUUGUUGGUUUCUAGGAUUGACGUAAUGAUUAAUAGGGAUAGUUGGGGGCAUUAGUAUUCAAUUGUCAGAGGUGAAAUUCUUGGAUUUAUUGAAGACUAACUACUGCGAAAGCAUUUGCCAAGGAUGUUUUCAUUAAUCAAGAACGAAAGUUAGGGGAUCGAAGACGAUCAGAUACCGUCGUAGUCUUAACCAUAAACCUAUGCCGACUAGGGAUCGGAUGAUGUUAAUUUUUAAUGACUCAUUCGGCGCCUUA